rnacentral:rRNA from 1 species
GCAAGUCGAACGGUAACAGAACUAGCUUGCUAGUUGCUGACGAGUGGCGGACGGGUGAGUAAUACUUAGGGAUCUGCCUCUGUGUGGGGGAUAACUAUUGGAAACGAUAGCUAAUACCGCAUAACGUCUACGGACCAAAGAGGGCUUCGGCUCUCGCGCAGAGAGGAACCUAAGCGAGAUUAGCUUGUUGGUGAGGUAAAGGCUCACCAAGGCGACGAUCUCUAGCUGUUCUGAGAGGAAGAUCAGCCACACUGGAACUGAGACACGGUCCAGACUCCUACGGGAGGCAGCAGUGGGGAAUAUUGCACAAUGGGGGCAACCCUGAUGCAGCCAUGCCGCGUGUGUGAAGAAGGCCUUCGGGUUGUAAAGCACUUUCAGUUGUGAGGAAAGGUUAGUAGUUAAUACCUGCUAGCUGUGACGUUAACAACAGAAGAAGCACCGGCUAACUCCGUGCCAGCAGCCGCGGUAAUACGGAGGGUGCGAGCGUUAAUCGGAAUUACUGGGCGUAAAGCGCACGCAGGCGGUCUGUUAAGCUAGAUGUGAAAGCCCC